AGGACGAACGCUGGCGGCGUGCUUAACACAUGCAAGUCGAGCGGAAAGGCCCUUCGGGGUACUCGAGCGGCGAACGGGUGAGUAACACGUGAGUAACCUGCCCUAGGCUUUGGGAUAACCCUCGGAAACGGGGCUAAUACCGGAUAUUCAUUCUGCGUGGCAUCACGUGGUGUGGAAAGUUUUUCGGCCUGGGAUGGGCUCGCGGCCUAUCAGCUUGUUGGUGGGUGAUGGCCUACCAAGGCGACGACGGGUA
rnacentral:rRNA from 1 species